rnacentral:rRNA from 1 species
UGAGGAAUAUUGGACAAUGGGCGCAAGCCUGAUCCAGCCAUGCCGCGUGCAGGAAGACGGCCCUAUGGGUUGUAAACUGCUUUUAUACGGGAAGAAACCCCCCGACGUGUCGGGGCUUGACGGUACCGUAUGAAUAAGGAUCGGCUAACUCCGUGCCAGCAGCCGCGGUAAUACGGAGGAUCCGAGCGUUAUCCGGAAUCAUUGGGUUUAAAGGGUCCGUAGGUGGACGAUUAAGUCGGAGGUGAAAUCCUGCAGCUCAACUGUAGAAUUGCCUUUGAUACUGGUUGUCUUGAAUCAUUGUGAAGUGGUUAGAAUAUGUGGUGUAGCGGUGAAAUGCAUAGAUAUCACAUAGAAUACCGAUUGCGAAGGCAGAUCACUAACAAUGUAUUGACACUGAUGGACGAAAGCGUGGGGAGCGAACAGG